GUGCCAGCCGCCGCGGUAAUACCGGCAGCCCGAGUGAUGGCCGAUCUUAUUUGGCCUAAAGCGUCCGUAGCUGGCUGCGCAAGUCCGUCGGGAAAUCCACUCGCCUAACGAGUGGGCGUCCGACGGAAACUGCACAGCUUGGGACCGGAAGGCUCGAAGGGUACGUUCGGGGUAGGAGUGAAAUCCUGUAAUCCCGGACGGACCACCGAUGGCGAAAGCACUCUGAGAAGACGGCUUCGACAGUGAGGGACGAAAGCUAGGGUCUCGAACCGGAUUAGAUACCCUGGUAGUCC
rnacentral:rRNA from 1 species